rnacentral:rRNA from 1 species
CCUGCCGGACCCGACUGCUAUCAGAAUAGGACUAAGCCAUGCGAGUCAACGUAGCAAUACGUGGCAUACGGCUCAGUAACACGUAGUCAACAUGCCCAGGGGACGUGGAUAACCUCGGGAAACUGAGGAUAAACCGCGAUAGGUCAUAAUAUCUGGAAUGAUUUCUGGCUGAAAUCUAUAUGGCCCCUGGAUUGGACUGCGGCCGAUCAGGCUGUUGGUGAGGUAAUGGCCCACCAAACCUAAAACCGGUACGGGCUCUGAGAGGAGGAGCCCGGAGAUGGGCACUGAGACAAGGGCCCAGGCCCUAUGGGGCGCAGCAGGCGCGAAAACUCUGCAAUAAGCGAAAGCUUGACAGGGUUAUUCUGAGUGAUUUCCGCUAAGGAAAUCUUUUGGCACCUCUAAAAAUGGUGCAGAAUAAGGGGUGGGCAAGCCUGGUGUCAGCCGCCGCGGUAAUACCAGCACCCCGAGUGGUCGGGACGAUUAUUGGGCCUAAAGCAUCCGUAGCCGGUUCUACAAGUCUUCCGUUAAAUCCACCUGCUUAACAGAUGGGCUGCGGAGGAUACUAUGGAGCUAGGAGGCGGGAGAGGCAAGCGGUACUUAGUGGGUAGGGGUAAAAUCCGUUGAUCCAUUGAAGACCACCAGUGGCGAAGGCGGCUUGCCAGAACGCACUCGACGGUGAGGGAUGAAAGCUGGGGGAGCAAACCGGAUUAGAUACCCGGGUAGUCCCAGCUGUAAACGAUGCAGACUCGGUG